AUGUACGAUAAUGUUGUGACAUGUGUUUGGACAAGUGAUGGCAACACUGAUGACUUCUCGAUUAAAAUAGGACUGCACCAGGGGUCAGCUUUGAGCCCUUAUCUUUUAGUUUUGGUGAUGGAUGAGGUCACAAGGGAUAUACAACGAGAUAUCCCAUGGUGUAUGCUCUUUGCGGAUGAUGUGAUGCUAGUCGAUGACAUGCAGACGCGAGCCAAUAGGAAGUUAGAGCUAUGGAGACAAACCUUGGAAUCGAAAGGUUUCAGACUUAGUAGAGCUAAAAUCGAGUACAUGAGAUGCGGUUUUAGUACUACUAGGCACGAGGAGGAGAAGGUUAGCCUUGAUGGCAGGUGGUGCCUCAGAAGGACACCUUUCGAUAUUUGGGGUCAAUGCUGCAGAAGGAUGGGGAUAUGGAUGAAGAUGUGA
rnacentral:rRNA from 1 species